GGGAUUGAUAUCCGAGGCAAUUAACAUGCAUUUUGGAUAAUGUUUGACAACCCAUUUUUUUAAUUAUAAACAAUAUUUUACACUAAUUUAUAUUGGUCUUUCAUAUUAGGCGGGACAAUUGAGUAUGAUUCUAAUUUUAUAGAAAUCAAAUUUCUUCGUUGUGCCAGAAAAUUUGAGUUAUAUGAGAUUUAUUCUAAUAUUUUUAGUUCAAUAUCCAACUUAUGAGUUUGAUGCCUGUACAUAAAUGAUCUGCUUUGUAAGAGAGAGAG
rnacentral:lncRNA from 1 species